CCUACGGGAGACUGCAGUGGGGAAUAUUGGGCAAUGGGCGCAAGCCUGACCCAGCAACGCCGCGUGAAGGAAGAAGGCUUUCGGGUUGUAAACUUCUUUUCUCAGGGACGAAGCAAGUGACGGUACCUGAGGAAUAAGCCACGGCUAACUACGUGCCAGCAGCCGCGGUAAUACGUAGGUGGCAAGCGUUAUCCGGAUUUACUGGGUGUAAAGGGCGUGUAGGCGGGAAAGCAAGUCAGAUGUGAAAACCAUGGGCUCAACCUGUGGCCUGCAUUUGAAACUGUUUUUCUUGAGUACUGGGGAGGCAGACGGAAUUCCUAGUGUAGCGGUGAAAUGCGUAGAUAUUAGGAGGAACACCAGUGGCGAAGGCGGUCUGCUGGACAGCAACUGACGCUGAGGCGCGAAAGCGUGGGGAGCAAACAGGAUUAGAUACCCGAGUAGUC
rnacentral:rRNA from 1 species